GGUGUUUCCGCAGUCUGGCAGCGCUGCCUCUGAAUCCAGCUUUCCCCACACACUCCCUCUCCCCUCUGAGCCUCAGUUUUCUCAUCUGCAGAGUGGGGACGGUAACACCCUUUGUCGUAGAGUUUGGAGGAUGCAAUGAGUUUGAAAGAUGAUGACAGUGGGGACCAUGAUCAGAAUGAAGAAAACAGCACACAGAAAGAUGGUGAGAAGGAAAAAACGGAACGAGACAAGAAUCAGAGCAGUAGCAAGAGAAAGGCUGUUGUCCCUGGACCGGCAGAGCAUCCCCUGCAGUACAACUACACUUUUUGGUACUCCAGGAGAACCCCCGGCCGUCCCACGAGCUCACAGAGCUAUGAACAGAAUAUCAAACAGAUUGGCACCUUUGCCUCUGUGGAGCAGUUCUGGAGGUUUUAUAGCCACAUGGUACGUCCUGGGGACCUGACAGGCCACAGUGACUUCCAUCUCUUCAAAGAAGGAAUUAAACCCAUGUGGGAGGAUGAUGCAAAUAAAAAUGGUGGCAAGUGGAUUAUUCGGCUGCGGAAGGGCUUGGCCUCCCGUUGCUGGGAGAAUCUCAUUUUGGCCAUGCUGGGGGAACAGUUCAUGGUUGGGGAGGAGAUCUGUGGGGCUGUGGUGUCUGUCCGCUUUCAGGAGGACAUUAUUUCAAUAUGGAAUAAGACUGCCAGUGACCAAGCAACCACAGCCCGAAUCCGGGACACACUUCGGCGAGUGCUUAACCUACCUCCCAACACCAUUAUGGAAUACAAAACUCACACCGACAGCAUCAAAAUGCCAGGCAGGCUGGGCCCCCAAAGGCUCCUUUUUCAAAACCUCUGGAAGCCGCGGUUGAAUGUGCCAUGACCCUCUCCCUCUCUGGAUGGCACCAUCAUUGAAGCUGGCGUCAUCGGAGUCUCUUGUUCUGUUGGCGUGCUACCUGGAAGAUCCUUCUGUCCUGGACAAGAGGAAUUGGAAGAGCAUUUUAUGUUUUAAGAACAGGCUGACACGCAGCAGCUACAACAACAGCUGAGAUCACUUAAUAAAUGGUGCUAAACUAGCUUGUCUCAUGCUCUUGCUCUUUAUGGUGCAUCAAAGAUGUGGCCUUUCGGACUGACUGUCACCAUAUUAAGGGAUGGCACAGACUUUUCCAUGGAGGGCCAUCCGGGGAAUGCAGCCUCAUUUCCAUAAGCCCAUUGUGUAGUGUCAUGUGGUAUUUUGUUCCAGGACUGCUGAGGCCUGACAUAAUAAGGUGACAUCUAGCUUAGAAAAUAAGACCCCAUUUUCUGGUACUUAAAUUUGAGUUCCCAUCUAGUCACGCCGAUGACCAGAACAGAGUGAUUUCUGAUAUAGAAUUCAGCUUGAAAGUCUGUUCAGGUUGGAAAGGGGGAUCCUUGGCCUUUGCUUCGCUGACUUCCAUUCGCCUUUACUUCAAAGAAAUCUCUUGCUUGGAGGUAAAUCCCUGCUUCUGUCUGUGUGGCUGUGUGUAUAUAGCUUCCUUGCUUUGUGCUAAUGGGGUUUUCUCACUGGUGCCAAAGCUGCCCAAGCCACAGCUCUUUUCCAGCCUUCUCCCUUCUGCUUUCCCUUUAGAGCCAGGUCAUCUUCCUCUUUGAGUCAGCCCUGCUUGCAAGAUCGCAGGGUUACAGCCCUUCCCUUUCUCCUGGGCCCGGUGUUACUGCACAUCAGGAUCUGGGGUAGGGGAAACGUCUUCAUCCCGUGUGAGUUUGCUCUGUAGGAUAUCUGACCGUAGCACGUACGGACCCCUUGUGUGCUUUGUGGCUUUGGCUUGUAUGUGCUGCAGCUUGGCCUUUAGGCCCCUAACCUGCAUGUAGAGUUUCAGCAAGCCUCAUGCUACUUUAGGUUUUCUUAGGAGCUACCACCAAAAACAUAAUAAACAAUCAUUUUUUUGCAAACACUGGGUCAGUCUGCCUGAGAGGAUCUGUGAAAGUGUCUGUGGACUUAAGGUUGAGUUUUCCAGAGUGGCUGUUCCACUUUGGCAGUGAUACCCUGUGCUUGUACCAUCCUGACUUACCUCUGAUCUCCAUGUGGCCCAAGAUCCUGCAUAACACCUAUUAGGAUUAGCACUGUGGGCUCAGUAUUCUAGGGGUGUUUGUGUCAUUGCAUCUUUGUUUAUUACAUAUCCAAAAUUGGUUGAAGUACCUAUAAAAUGAGAGAUUUGCUGGAAUAUGGAAAGGCCCAUUCUCUACGUUUUUAGUGUUUGUCAAAGAAUUACCUUCUCUGGCCCUUUCCCUCUUGCCUUCAAAAAUUGUUACAUACAUUAACUUUAAUUUCAGCUGUAUUGUAACUGCUCCAGGGGAUAGGCUUGAUGUCACCUCCCAGAGUAAGAGUUGAUUAGAAGCACCAAACUGACCUUGAGACCCUUCUGAUCUUUGUCAAUAUGAACAAAAGUCAGAACUAUUUCUGCUUUCUUCUAUUCCUUGUGGCUCUUCCAUGGAUAUGACUUUGUUUGAGCCAAGGAACAGCUGCUACUGAGACUUAAGAAUUCCAAGGAGGCCGGGCGAGGUGGCUCACGCCUGUAAUCCUAGCACUUUGGGAGCUCGAGGUGGGCAGAUCACAAGGUCAGGAGACCAGCCUGGCCAACAUGGUGAAACCCCAUCUCUACCAAAAAUACAAAAUUAGCCAGGCAUAGUGGCAGGUGCCUAUAAUCUCAGCUACUCAGGGAGGCUGAGGCAGGAGAAUUGCUUGAACCCAGGAGGUGGAGGUUGCAGGGAGCUGAGAUUGCACCACUGCACUCCAGCCUGAGCAACAAGAGCAAAACUCCAUCUCAAAAAACAAAGAAUUCCAAGGAAAAUGAAGGAAGAAGGAGCCAACAUUUGUUUUCUUCCGAGUACUCUGGAGAUAGGGCUGCUGGUGGUGAGGGGCUUUUAAGAGUAGCUUAGAUUUUUCAGUCAGGUGUUCCUGAUUCCUGCUUGCUAUUUUUGGCCCAGUUCCCAAUGUCCUUCUUCAACCGUUGGGUUUUUCCAGCCUUUCCCCAGUCACACUGCUUGUGGCCUUUUCCUGCUGUUCCCCUCAGUAUGCUACAAGGCAUUGCCUGCCGCACAGAGCAGGCGGGUGAUGAGCUGCUGUGCUGCAGAGGGCUCCUGCUCUUGUUUAUUGCUGACAGUUCAUUCACCCCUAAGACGUGGACAACUUGUUAAACUGAGUUCUUGCUCGGGUCAUAGCUCCUUUUAAUGAGGCCAACUUGUAGUCGAGUUUUCAUAGAUGUGGGUUCCCCAUAUUCUCUGCUUUGAGGAGAAAUCUCAUAAUACAGUCAGAAUCGUGGGGCUACCAGGAUAAAACUGGGCUCGGAGCCAUGUGAAACAGCAAUGUCUUUUGUGAAGAAACUCCUCUUUGGAUUAGUCCCACUGAUUCCUUUUGCGCAUCUAGCCUGGAAUGGAAAAGGAAAACAGGCCAAAUUCCCAUAGUGGGCUACAGCACUGGGAAAGACUGGCCCGGCUUCUCUGCAGGAGUGGAGGGUGGGUGAUUCUCUUUAUUCCUUUAUCUUAGAGAAGAGACAGGUCAAAAUGUGGAGGCUUUCCCACAUCUAGAUAUCAUUGUAUUUCAACACUGAACUUUUAUAGGCAAGGACCAACCCAUUCCCUUCUGGCAUGGCUAAAUCAUAGUCCAGUAGCACCAGGUUACCCCAGCUUAAUUGCUGGCCUGGCUUUGCAUCUGUGAUAUGUACCACCGAACUGGUAGGCAAAGCGAAGAGAGCCCAGAUUAGCAGGAGGCUGAGCCCCUCCCUAAGUAUAGAGAGCCAGUGAGCGCAAGGCUAUGAACCUUGCAGCCUUUGGGUAGAGGUAGGGGGAAGUGUAGAAUUGCACAGGAUUUGCUUUCUGGUACGUGAGAUGGGCCAACAGUGGUCUUAAAAGAGCUCUUUGUUCCUCUGUCUUUUGAAUCUGUUCAGAAUUCCUUGUUGCCUAUAUUAAUCUCUAAUUAAUUUUUUCUGUUUUUAGAAACUCCAGUCAUGACACUUCUUACAUUUAACUUGUUCUUUCUUUACCUUUAAAAGAAGGAAGUUUUAAUAUUACCCAGUAUGCCUGGAAUGCCAGAUGGAAAAUAGCUAGACUAUUCACACCUAGUUUUAGGUGGUAGAUUUGCCUCUUGGCCGAGCUGUGGGCCUAUGAGAAUAAGAGUGAUUAUACCAAAGAUUAUGGCCCACUAUUUUAUUUCCACUGAAUCCAUGUGAAGAAAUUUCUUUUUUUGUUUUGUUUUGUUUUGUUUUUCUGAGAUGGAGUCUCACUCUGUCACCCGGGCUGGAGUGCAGUGGCACGAUCUCUGCUCACUGCAACCUCUGCCUCCUGGGUUCAAGCGAUUCUCUUGCCUCAGCCUCCCGAGUAGCUGGGAUUACAGGUGCCCGCCACCAUGCUUGGCUAAUUUUUUGUAUUUUUAGUAGAGACGGGGUUUCACCAUGUUUGCCAGGCUGGUCUCGAACUCCUGAACUCAGGUGAUCCGCCUGCCUCAGCCUCCCGAAGUGAUUACAGGCAUGAGCCAUGGUGCCCGGCUGUGAGGAAAUUUCUUAACCCAGGUUCUUCAUGUUGAGGUUUAACAUACAGUGAAGAGACUGAUGAAGAAACUGGGAGGGGAAUGUAAUACUGGAAUGGAGUAGGAGGGAGCUGUGAAGUCCGUAUUUCUUCAGGUUCUUGACAGAGAGAACUGCUCGGUGUAGGCUAGUGUAAGGAUGGCCCUUCCUGGAAAUAAAAGGAUAAAUGACAUGAAGCUUCAACACAGCCAUGUAAUUUCUUGUUGACACCUAAGUGGUUUAAAAAGGAAUUUAAAUCUCAGCAUUACAGUGAGGGGUUUCCCUGGGUCAUUGCCAAAGCAUUGGAUUUUGCUUUGCCCUUGUCUUCAUUUGGAGUAAAGAGUCAAAUUGCCUUCUGAUGUCACUCAGGGAUUCACAAAGUACAUCACAUCACCAUCUUUCCAGAAAGAGCUCUGAAACAGGUGUCUUGCUGUGGACACUGAGUUUGGGAAUUGACAAAGACUGGCACACUUGUUUGGCAUUGUUACAUUUUUCCUUAAUUUAGUUAGCACAUACACUAGGAGCUUUGGUAAUAAUUCUCUGAAGAAGCCAUGAACUGCAGGUCUACCUCCUCUAAGAGGUAAAUGGUUAACUUAUAAAUGUAGUGUAUUGUCACCCUGGGUACUGUGUCACCAAAUUAAACCAAGAAUGGAGUAACAAUAAUGAGGAACUUCAGACUUAGAGGCACCAUAUUUUAUAUAUAAUUCCCAAGGAACUCCUCAUUUUGGGGCUGAAAAGUGGCUAGGGCUUAGGUAGGAAAUCAGCUCCCCUGAGAAAACUUGAGUUUGAGCCUCCAGAAGCAUAGGGGGUCUGAUUUUCUCCUGUGACUAGUCCAGCAGUCACCAAGAGUCUUUUCUCUGUAAGCGAAAGGCCACGUACCCCUUCUGUCACAUUUCUUAUCCCUUCCCAACCCUAAUUUCAUAGUUAAGCUAGUCAGCAUGAAAAUUGUAAUGGGCAUUGUUCCCUGGAAAUUUUGAACUGCCGUGACUUUAAAUUUUCAGAUAGUAGUUACAUAAGCACUUAAGAAACAGGUGGAACCUGACACAUUGAAGGUCUGAGUGUAGAAGGGUUAGAAGGUCGGAAAUAUGAAAACAGAGAAAGUGUAUACUUUCCUCCUUGCAUCUUUAGACAUCAUAAUGCUGUUGGGAACUGGCCUUUACCCUCAGUGAGGCCUGAUGAAGAAAAAUUGUUUCUACCACCUGUGCACACAUAGCCAAGGCAGAAAGUACAGGGAGUGCCACUGUAAAUUGGAAGUGUUUUUGGUGACAGUUGAGCAUCAGCUCUGACCUUACUGGCCUCCCCUGGAGCCUUGUUGAAGGAACACUGGUGCAAAUCCUUGAGGGAACAGGGGCAGACUUCUCAAGUGAAGCAAGCAGAAGUGCCCGCUGGCCCUGAAAGGGUAGGCUGCUCUGCUCCUCGGAAAGGAAAGUCCAGUGGGACCUCGCUGCUCUGCUCCCAGGGCCUGGGAGGAGUUUCAUGGCCUGGUGAACAGCAGCGGCCGCUGAUCGGACGCUCCCCCUCUGUCUCUCACACUCAGGGGACAAUUCAAGCUUUCGAAAUACAAAAAUCACAUUGUGAGAGUACACAAGCUGGCAAUAAUCCUUUUCUGUAUGUGUGUGUUUGUCCGAAAUGGAUGGGAGGCCUCCAGCCAGUCCUUCCAUUGCUCACUGAAGGGACGUCCCUGAGCCGUGCGCUCUCCUUUUGCACUCAUUCCUGGAGGACGGAUUCCGCUACACACCCUCCAGCAUCGCUGACUUUAUAAAGCGGAAAAACGGAAAACGUGACUUUGUAAUAGACAAACACUGUUUUUUAAUGGGGUUCCGUGGGGGGGCGUUCAGCCUGUUUGCUGUGUGCUGUCCAGAUGCCUCUUGGGCGUCCUGUUGUUCUCUUCCCGUGUUGUACGAAGGGUACCGUGGCCACGUGUACAUGCCAGAGCUGUUGAUGAGAGUUACCAGUAUUAUGAAUGAAUGUGCAUCCAGGAAAAGCGUUCUGUUGGAGAGUCCCAGAAUAGCUGUAAAUGCUCUCUUCUAGCCCUGCCAUUAAAUUAUUGGGACAUUUUGUUUCUUUCUCUCCCCUCCUCCAAGCCCACCACUUUCUGAAGCUGUGUUACUGAUGUGAUGACUGUCCAGGAUUUUGUAUCAUCCCCUGCCUUAUGCCCUCCGGUCUCCUCUCCUGUGGGACUCUCUCCUUCUUAGGCACAGCUGCACUUAGAAUUGUAAUCCAGUGGCUCUUACUGGUUUCACUGAGGCAGCUUAGAGGGAAUGCCUUAGUAAACUGAACUGGAGCAGAAUCUAGUUUGAUUAGGAGCUAGAUUAUAAUCUAGGUUCCAAGUACAGAAUUUGGAGCUAAGGACGGUGACUGAAAUCAUUUUCCCAUAUGAGCAGACCCUGUGUGUCAGGCCUGUUUCCCAUAUGAGCAGAGCCUGUGUGCAAGUCUGUUUCUGGCAUGUCCCUCAUUGAGGAAGGGAAGCAAAAGCUGGUUAUUGCCAGGCCUAUUAACACUUAAUAUGCAAAUUCUAUCAUCCUGAAACUGGGGCAUCUGAGGAAAAGGUGACCUUGCUGGAUGGCGUUAUUUGCAUGGCUCUGCCUGUCUGCAGUGGUUGAGUCCUCAUCACCUGGUAUGUGUAUGAGCAAAUGUAUGCUGAUCGUGAUGCCCAGGCAGAAACCUCUUGAAGACUGCUGCAGGCAUGCUUUAAAAAUGACCAGUCACUCAUCAGAGAAGCUGGGUGAUCUGACUCCAGAAGGACUGAAGUCAGAGAAGUCAAAAGAGCACCUAGGAUUCAAAUAAAUAGCGUCAGAGUCCUAUAGCAACCUCCAAGUAGCACCGUCUUACUUGGCUCUUGUGAGCAAAGACUGCAGUACCUUAAAUUAAGGCCUCUCUUUAAAACAUAUCCUUGAAGACUAGGGGAUCCUUGGCCACCUGGUCUCAGAGAAAUCAUAUGAGAGUAACAGGCAUUUCCUUAUUGUAUUUGUACUACACUCUUCCUACUUUUCCAUUCCUGAACACCCUCUAAUUACCACUGUUUUGGGGAUGCUUUUUUUCUGAAAGAACGGGGAGUACAGGGGCCAAAAGGGAGGUGCUUCUAUUACAGGUCAAGAUAGAUUAGAUAAGAAGAUCUAGCAGUGAUUUAAACUCCAGGAAUAUGAAGAGUGCAUUCUGGUGUCCAGACAGUUGUGAAGGGCUCGGCAAAUAUAAGAGCACCAUUGGCUACAUGGAGAGCAAAGGCUGUCUUUGAAGACCCCAGGGAGGUCUUCACUUUUGCCUAAAUUCAGAUUUGCCAUGAAAAUUCCAAAGAGAGCAGAUAUUUGGAUUUGCCCUCCUUUGGGCAUCUACCUGACUGUUGUGUGUGUGGAAAAGUCAGUGUGUAUGUGUAGAGUGUGCUUAGGAGUGAGUGAGUGGUCAGGCCUCCUGGCUAGGUGUGUUGUCCAUAGUUUUGUUGUUGUUGUUGUUGUUCAGAGUUUUGAAUCUUACGUUUUCUAGAGCUGCUCAUGUUUUACCUUCCUUUUUGUCGUUGUAGUAUUUGACAGUUGUCUUUUCCAUCAAAAACAUACUGGCCCUAGGCUGGUUAGAGCAAGGGGUUAUGCCUGUUAGGCAGCAUCUUACGCCCAGUGUUCUCCCAGAUAUUCUGCCUAACAGGUUUAAGUAGGAGAUUAAAUAGUCAGUUUAUCUAAACCCUCUAUUUUUCCAAACUAGCUUGAGAGGUCUUUUCAUCUAUUUUUACUCCAUGGGCCUCUGAUAUGCUGAGAUGUGGCACGGUUAUGAUUAUGGUAUCACCUGUUACAGAGACAAAGGGAUAAAGGUCUACCAGGGCCAACGUAACCAGAAUGUGAGGAGAGUGAAGAGUCGGUCUCCGCUUUGCACAGUACCAGAAUGUGAGGUUGCCACUGGAGAGCGGAGAGUCGGUCUCCACUUGGCACAGUUGGAGCUGUUCUCCUCUAACUCCUUUGCUGGGUUUUCUGUUUGAAAUUGGCCCCUACUCCUGUCCAGCCCUUUACUGGGUUUUCUGUUUGAAAUUGGCCCCUACUCCUCUCCAGUGUCUGCUUUUUGAAUCCUUCUGUUUGUGUGUGUGUGUGUGUGUGUGUGUUCCCUGUGAUACUGGCAGUGGCAAUAAUUUUCCACCCAGAGAGAAGCUUGUGGUCCACAAUGCUCGAAGAAUGAAUUUCCAAGUAUUUGCCAGUGGAAACGGAGCAGAGGCUAUGACAAGAGUGAUUUAGUGUUGCACUUUCAGAGCAAUUAUCUACUGCAGUAAUAAAUGGAAAAUAUCAGCAAGAA